UACAAACAACACCUAUUUCCUCUCUCUCUCUCUCUGUAGCGUCACAAUGAGAAGUAAUGGUAUCUUUUGGGCACUGUGGAUCUUUACAUUCUGGCAUCAGGAUACUCAGAGGUUUGAAUUGUAAUGGGGCUGAGCUGCUUCUGCAAAGGAAUUCGGAUUUACUCUGAAUGUGGCUGAAUCCAGAGCCCCGGGGGUGACUGCAAGGUGUGCAGAUGUGCAGCAAUUGGAAAAAGAGAAGAAAGGAGCAGAAUAAGAAGUACAGAAUUAUAUUCCUGGCUGUUGUGCAGGCCCGUGGAAUGGCGCAGACCAUGCAUUCCAGCGGCACGUUUGUGAAUCCCACUUCUGAAGAUAAAUCAAUGUUGGUGACGCCGGGCGGGAGCCGGAAGGAAAAUCUCUGUAGAAGACUUGUGAAAAAUAUGAAAAGCUCCAUUCUUGCCAAUGUCUCUCCUGCGCAACCUCUGCGACCUGUUCAACCAAUGAAAAGGCAGUAUAGCUUGAAUGCUACAUUGGCAGGACAUUCAAAGGCCGAUAAUUAUACAUUGCUAUAUGAAUAUUUACAAUACCUGCUGAAAAUGGCAUAAAGGCUUCUUUCUUUAGAAAAUUCC